rnacentral:rRNA from 1 species
UACGGAGGAUCCAAGCGUUAUCCGGAAUCAUUGGGUUUAAAGGGUCCGUAGGCGGUUUAAUAAGUCAGUGGUGAAAGCCCAUCGCUCAACGGUGGAACGGCCAUUGAUACUGUUAGACUUGAAUUAUUAGGAAGUAACUAGAAUAUGUAGUGUAGCGGUGAAAUGCUUAGAGAUUACAUGGAAUACCAAUUGCGAAGGCAGGUUACUACUAAUGGAUUGACGCUGAUGGACGAAAGCGUGGUAGCGAACAGG